rnacentral:rRNA from 1 species
UACAGAGGGGGCAAGCGUUGUUCGGAAUUACUGGGCGUAAAGGGCGCGUAGGCGGCCUUCUAAGUCGAACGUGAAAUCCCCGAGCUCAACUCGGGAACUGCGUCCGAUACUGGUGGGCUUGAAUCCGGGAGAGGGAUGCGGAAUUCCAGGUGUAGCGGUGAAAUGCGUAGAUAUGCGGAGGAACACCGAUGGCGAAGGCAAUCCCCUGGACCUGUACUGACGCUCAUGCACGAAAGCGUGGGGAGCAAACAGG